UACGGAGGGUGCAAGCGUUAUCCGGAUUCACUGGGUUUAAAGGGUGCGUAGGUGGGCUGGUAAGUCAGUGGUGAAAUCUCCAGGCUUAACUUGGAAACUGCCAUUGAUACUAUCAGUCUUGAAUACCGUGGAGGUCAGCGGAAUAUGUCAUGUAGCGGUGAAAUGCUUAGAUAUGACAUAGAACACCAAUUGCGAAGGGAGCUGGCUAAACGAAUAUUGACACUGAUGCACGAAAGCGUGGGGAUCAAACAGG
rnacentral:rRNA from 1 species